GGUUAAGUUAGAAAGGGCGCACGGUGAAUGCCUUGGCACUAGGAGCCGAUGAAGGACGGACUAACACCGAUAUGCUUCGGGGAGCUGUAAGUGAGCUUUGAUCCGGAGAUUUCCGAAUGGGGAAACCCACUGUUCGUAAUGGAACAGUAUCUUUAUCUGAAUACAUAGGAUAUUGAAGGCAGACCCGGGGAACUGAAACAUCUAAGUACCCGGAGGAAGAGAAAGCAAAUGCGAUUUCCUGAGUAGCGGCGAGCGAAACGGAAUUAGCCCAAACCAAGAGGCUUGCCUCUUGGGGUUGUAGGACACUCUAUACGGAGUUACAAAGGAACGAAGUAAAUGAAGCGACCUGGAAAGGUCCGUCGAAGAAGGUAACAACCCUGUAGUUGAAACUUCGUUCCCUCUUGAGUGGAUCCUGAGUACGGCGGAACACGUGAAAUUCCGUCGGAAGCUGGGAGGACCAUCUCCCAAGGCUAAAUACUACCUAGUGACCGAUAGUGAACCAGUACCGUGAGGGAAAGGUGAAAAGCACCCCGGAAGGGGAGUGAAAGAGAUCCUGAAACCGUGUGCCUACAAGUAGUCAGAGCCCGUUAACGGGUGAUGGCGUGCCUUUUGUAGAAUGAACCGGCGAGUUACGAUCCCAUGCAAGGUUAAGCUGAUAAGGCGGAGCCGUAGCGAAAGCGAGUCUGAAUAGGGCGUUUAGUAUGUGGUUGUAGACCCGAAACCAGGUGAUCUACCCAUGUCCAGGGUGAAGUUCAGGUAACACUGAAUGGAGGCCCGAACCCACGCACGUUGAAAAGUGCGGGGAUGAGGUGUGGGUAGCGGAGAAAUUCCAAUCGAACCUGGAGAUAGCUGGUUCUCUCCGAAAUAGCUUUAGGGCUAGCCUCAUGUUGUGAGAGUCUUGGAGGUAGAGCACUGAUUGGACUAGGGGCCCCCAACGGGUUACCGAAUUCAGUCAAACUCCGAAUGCCAAAGACUUAUCCAUGGGAGUCAGACUGCGAGUGAUAAGAUCCGUAGUCAAAAGGGAAACAGCCCAGACCACCAGCUAAGGUCCCCAAGUAUACGUUAAGUGGAAAAGGAUGUGGAGUUGCUUAGACAACCAGGAUGUUGGCUUAGAAGCAGCCACCAUUUAAAGAGUGCGUAAUAGCUCACUGGUCGAGUGACUCUGCGCCGAAAAUGUACCGGGGCUAAACGUAUCACCGAAGCUGUGGAUUGACAUCUUAGAUGUCAGUGGUAGGAGAGCGUUCUAAGUGCUGUGAAGUCAGACCGUAAGGACUGGUGGAGCGCUUAGAAGUGAGAAUGCCGGUAUGAGUAGCGAAAGACAAGUGAGAAUCUUGUCCACCGAAUGCCUAAGGUUUCCUGAGGAAGGCUCGUCCGCUCAGGGUUAGUCGGGACCUAAGCCGAGGCUGAAAAGCGUAGGCGAUGGCCAACAGGUUGAUAUUCCUGUACCACCUCCCCGCCGUUUGAGUAAUGGGGGGACGCAGUAGGAUAGGGUAAGCGCGCUGCUGGAUAUGCGCGUUCAAGCAGUUAGGCUGAUGAGUAGGCAAAUCCGCUCAUCAUAAAGGCUGAGCUGUGAUGACGAGGGAAUUAUAGUACCGAAGUUCCUGAUUCCACACUGCCAAGAAAAGCCUCUAGCGAGGCGGGAGGUGCCCGUACCGCAAACCGACACAGGUAGGCGAGGAGAGAAUCCUAAGGUGAUCGAGAGAACUCUCGUUAAGGAACUCGGCAAAAUGACCCCGUAACUUCGGGAGAAGGGGUGCUCUGGUAGGGUGUAUAGCCCGAGAGAGCCGCAGUGAAUAGGCCCAGGCGACUGUUUAGCAAAAACACAGGUCUCUGCGAAGCCGCAAGGCGAAGUAUAGGGGCUGACGCCUGCCCGGUGCUGGAAGGUUAAGAGGAGGGGUUAUCCUUUGGGAGAAGCUCUGAAUCGAAGCCCCAGUAAACGGCGGCCGUAACUAUAACGGUCCUAAGGUAGCGAAAUUCCUUGUCGGGUAAGUUCCGACCCGCACGAAAGGCGUAACGAUCUGGGCACUGUCUCAACGAGAGACUCGGUGAAAUUAUAGUACCUGUGAAGAUGCAGGUUACCCGCGACAGGACGGAAAGACCCCGUGGAGCUUUACUGUAGCCUGAUAUUGAAUUUUGGUACAGCUUGUACAGGAUAGGUAGGAGCCUGAGAAGCCGGAGCGCUAGCUUCGGUGGAGGCGUCGGUGGGAUACUACCCUGGCUGUAUUGAAAUUCUAACCCGCGGCCCUGAUCGGGCCGGGAGACAGUGUCAGGUGGGCAGUUUGACUGGGGCGGUCGCCUCCUAAAAUGUAACGGAGGCGCCCAAAGGUUCCCUCAGAAUGGUUGGAAAUCAUUCGUAGAGUGUAAAGGCACAAGGGAGCUUGACUGCGAGACCUACAAGUCGAGCAGGGACGAAAGUCGGGCUUAGUGAUCCGGUGGUUCCGCAUGGAAGGGCCAUCGCUCAACGGAUAAAAGCUACCCCGGGGAUAACAGGCUUAUCUCCCCCAAGAGUCCACAUCGACGGGGAGGUUUGGCACCUCGAUGUCGGCUCAUCGCAUCCUGGGGCUGUAGUCGGUCCCAAGGGUUGGGCUGUUCGCCCAUUAAAGCGGUACGCGAGCUGGGUUCAGAACGUCGUGAGACAGUUCGGUCCCUAUCCGUCGUGGGCGUAGGAAAUUUGAGAGGAGCUGUCCUUAGUACGAGAGGACCGGGAUGGACACACCGCUGGUGUACCAGUUGUCUUGCCAAAGGCAUCGCUGGGUAGCUAUGUGUGGACGGGAUAAGUGCUGAAAGCAUCUAAGCAUGAAGCCCCCCUCAAGAUGAGAUUUCCCAUAGCGCAAGCUAGUAAGAUCCCUGAAAGAUGAUCAGGUUGAUAGGUCAGAGGUGGAAGCGUGGCGACAUGUGUAGCUGACUGAUACUAAUCGAUCGAGGACUUAACCAA
rnacentral:rRNA from 1 species